rnacentral:misc_RNA from 1 species
GGCAUUUGAGUUUGAGGGCAAACCGAUGGUUUUGACCGACUUAGAUAAUUCGGUUUGAUUUUGUUAUAUUUUUUUUAAUAGAAAAUUCAGCUUUCGAUUUGAACUGAAUGCUUAUAUACAUAUAUUUGAGAGAUAGGGAGAGUGAUUGAUUGAAAUUUUUUUAAUUUUUAAAUGAAUUGUUUUUUAUUAAAUAAUACUAUAUAAUUAUUUAUGGGUCUCACAUUUCUAUAUAAUUGUUAGCUAACGGUCACUUAAAUUGGAC